UACGGAGGGAGCUAGCGUUGUUCGGAAUUACUGGGCGUAAAGCGCGCGUAGGCGGCUUUGUAAGUUAGAGGUGAAAGCCCGGAGCUCAACUCCGGAACUGCCUUUAAAACUGCAUCGCUUGAAUCCAGGAGAGGUGAGUGGAAUUCCGAGUGUAGAGGUGAAAAUUCGUAGAUAUUCGGAAGAACACCAGUGGCGAAGGCGGCUCACUGGACUGGUAUUGACGCUGAGGUGGCGAAAGCGUGGGGAGCAAAC
rnacentral:rRNA from 1 species